rnacentral:rRNA from 1 species
AAAAAAUUAAUUAAAAAUAUUAAAAUAGUAAAUAAUUAUUUAUUAAAACUUAAAUAAUUUGGCGGUAUUUUAGUUCAUUUAGAGGAAUCUGUCUAUUAAUUGAUAAUCCACGAAUAAUUAUAUUUAAUUUAAAAUUUUAUAUAUCGUUGUUAAAAAAAUAUUUUAUAAAAAGAAUAAUAUUUUAAAAUUUAAAAUUAAAACUAAUUCAGAUCAAGAUGUAGAUAAUAAUUAAAUUUAAGAUGGAUUACAAUAUAAUUAUAUAAAAAUGGAAAAUAAUUUUGAAAUAAUUAUUAGAAAGUGGAUUUAAAUGUAAUUUUAAAUAAUUUUUUAAAAUGAUUGAAAAUUAAAAUAUGUACAUAUUGCCCGUCACUUUCAUUUAAAAAUUGAAAUAAGUCGUAACAAAGUAGGGGUACUGGAAAGUGUUCCUAGAAAGA